rnacentral:lncRNA from 1 species
GUUUCAUUGUAUAGAAAAGUUUGUGCUACACCACAGGAACACAGCAAGUGGCCUAAAAUGUGAUUCUAUCAAAGGAUACUUAAGAACACCUGAGUUGUCAAAAUCCCCAGAGUACUUCAGAAACUGGGAUUGUGUUUAGAUUUGGAUGAGAUGUUAAGGUCUAGGACAGUGAAAGACUCCUUCCAAGUACAGAUAGCAUCUGACCACCUGGCUGUGAAACACAAAAGGCAGUGCCUCAUGCAGUUGACACCACUGACAUUUCUACUCUUUUACAUCAAAAAAGUGAUGACACAGGUCAUUAGCAACUGGAAGUGCUUUUUCUGUGAAAGGAAGACCAACAGUCUCUCUCCAACUUCUAAUUUCCAUUCAGUUUACUUCAUUUCAUUCCAUAGCAUUUUUCUAUCCUUCUGUUCUCCCUAGAUUAUUUCUACCUAAUUACUCCUGCUGUUUUGAUUGAACGUAUCGUGAAAUAUCUACAGAAAAGUUG